rnacentral:rRNA from 1 species
CACGAAGGGUGCAAACGUUGCUCGGAAUUAUUGGGCGUAAAGCGCACGUAGGCGGCUUGGCAAGUCGGAUGUGAAAUCCCUCGGCUCAACCAAGGAAGUGCAUCCGAAACUGCCGAGCUUGAGUACUUAAGAGGAUCGCGGAAUUCCCGGUGUAGAGGUGAAAUUCGUAGAUAUCGGGAGGAACACCAGUGGCGAAGGCGGCGAUCUGGGAAGAUACUGACGCUGAGGUGCGAAAGCGUGGGGAGCAAACAGG